UACAGAGGGGGCAAGCGUUGUUCGGAAUUACUGGGCGUAAAGGGCGCGUAGGCGGCCUUCUAAGUCGAACGUGAAAUCCCCGGGCUCAACCCGGGAACUGCGUCCGAUACUGGGAGGCUUGAAUCCGGGAGAGGGAUGUGGAAUUCCAGGUGUAGCGGUGAAAUGCGUAGAUAUCUGGAGGAACACCGGUGGCGAAGGCGGCAUCCUGGACCGGUAUUGAUGCUGAGGCGCGAAAGCCAGGGGAGCAAACGGG
rnacentral:rRNA from 1 species